rnacentral:rRNA from 1 species
GAUGAACGCUGGCGGCGUGCCUAAUACAUGCAAGUCGAGCGAACAGACGAGGCGCUUGCUCCUCUGACGUUAGCGGCGGACGGGUGAGUAACACGUGGAUAACCUACCUAUAAGUCUGGGAUCACUUCGGGAAACCGGAGCUAAUACCGGAUAAUAUAUUGAACCGCAUGGUUCAAUAGUGAAAGACGGUUUUGCUGUCACUUAUAGAUGGAUCCGCGCCGCAUUAGCUAGUUGGUAAGGUAAAGGCUUACCAAGGCAACGAUGCGUAGCCGACCUGAGAGGGUGAUCGGCCACACUGGAACUGAGACACGGUCCAGACUCCUACGGGAGGCAGCAGUAGGGAAUCUUCCGCAAUGGGCGAAAGCUUGACGGAGCAACGCCGCGUGAGUGAUGAAGGUCUUCGGAUCGUAAAACUCUGUUAUUAGGGAAGAACAAAUGUGUAAGUAACUAUGCACGUAUUGACGGUACCUAAUCAGAAAGCCACGGCUAACUACGUG